AACGCACGAGACCUGCGGACCUGCGGAGGGAUCAUUACCGAGUGUUACAGCUCCCAAACCCACUGUGAACGUACCCAUCGUUGCUUCGGCGGGACCGCCCCGGCGCCUCCGCGCGCCGGGCACGGGCGCCCGCCGGGGGCCCGAAACUCUUGCCUCCUCGCGUGGAUUCUCUGAGUGGCACGAAAAGGGAAAAUGAAUCAAAACUUUCAGCAAUGGAUCUCUAGAUCGGAAGAGCACACG
rnacentral:misc_RNA from 1 species